GCAGCCACAGGGGAGGAGUCACUGCAAAAUGGAGUCUCUGUCCCAGCUUCUCUGUGGGCUCCUGAUGCUUUGGGUCCCAGUUUCCAGGGGAGAAAUUGUGCUGACCCAGUCUCCACCCUCCGUGCCUGUGAGCCCAGGAGAGAGAGUCACCAUUAGCUGCAAGGCCAGCCAGAGUGUCACAACCAGUGAUAAAAAGACUUACCUACACUGGCUCCAACAGAAACCAGGACAGUCUCCUCGGCGACUCAUUUAUAAGGUUUCCAACCUGCAGUCAGGAGUCCCGGCCCGCUUCAGUGGCAGUGGUGCUGGGAAGGAUUUCACCCUCACAAUCAGCAGUGUGGAGGCUGAAGAUGGGGCAGUCUAUUACUGUGCUCAAAGAUCUUUUACUCCUCCCACAGUGUUACAGCCCUGAACAAAAACCUCCCCAGGCCUGGGCUGGCUGCUCAGGGAGGCCCAGCUGCCUCCUCUCCUUCCUCUGCUGCAGCAGCUGCUGGGGGCCUGCUCAGGGGCAGGGUCUCUGGGGCUGAUGAGACAAAAGGGACUCGGGGCUCAGGGGAAAGGCCACAGUUUGAGAGCUCGGUGCUCUGGGGACUCUUGCUCCUCUUCAGCCAUGAGCAGAAUCAUCAAAGAAAGAACCACCCACUCAGACUGGGUCACCCCACAAUGCCCUGGGCCUGAGGCACUCUCCCAUUCCUAUUCCAUCUGCCUCCCCUCGGCACAAGAAACAAAGAGAAAGUAGCAACUUCUGGCCAGAGAUUCUUUCUGUCCUUUCUCCCUGACUCAAUAUUCCACAGCAGUCAAUGACUCUUGGGACCAAGAGCACAAGAAGAUCAGGUAACAGGCUAAUGAACUCCAUCAAUGGCCCCAGCUUAAAAUUCAUAUCCUCUAAGCAGCCAGAUGGCACGGGGCAGCUGCCCUGGAGUCAGGAGGACCUGAGUGCAAAUCCAGACUCAGACACUUCAUAUUUUCCAGUUGUGUGACCCUAGGCAAGUUACUUAAGCCUAAUUGCCUCUGGAAAAAAAAUUCAUACUCUGGAUCCAUUUUCGCUGACCAUGCAUUUAAAUCAGAUUUUUAUCUACUUUUAUUUUAUCUAUUCAUGCCUGGCACUAUAAAGAUCUCUCCGGAGUCUCCUCUGUCCACUCUUUUCAAAGGAAGACUUCAAUUCCUACAAAGAAGGGGAAUAAGAGUUUGGUGCCAAGAAGCCGGACAUUCGGCUCUCCUCAUAGUUUUGGAGUCUGCUCAGAAUUAUAACGACCUCCCCCAUCUUAAUAAUAUUAAUCUAAUAAAACUAAUUUUUAUAAUCCAAUUGAUGGAAACUGUGAUCUUUGGGGGAAGGGUAAACCUUGUUUAGAAUCCCAACCCCUCCUGCCUCUUGGGAGAGGCCCCAUGCUCCUAUUUAGGAGAAACUCCCAUAGCAUCUCCACCCACAAUUCAAUUGGAGAUCUUGGCCUGGGGCAUAAUCACCACCCUUGAGUGGAAGGUUCCCCAGGUCCAGGCUAGAAAACCCCAAUAUCAUGAAAGGCUGUGCGCCCAAACCUUAGCAAAAAGUGCUGACAGGAUGU